AUGGCCAAGAACACAUGCAAGCUCUGCUGCCGCCGCUUCGCCAGCCCCCGCGCCCUCGCCGGCCACAUGCGCUCCCACUCCAUCAAGGUCGCCCGGUCGCAGCAGAUCUCAUCGGCCUCCUCCGCCUCCACCUCCCUCGCGGCCGGGGACGGCGACGACGCCAGGAUGGCCAUCCAGGCCCACGUGCUCCGCGGCAAGCCCAAGCGGAGGGCGCGCCUCGCCGAGUCCGACUUCUCGGAUCGCGAGAGCGAGGCGGAGUACCCGUCGCAGUCGCCGGGCGCCAAGCGCGUGCAUGGCGGAUCGCGCGACGCCGAGCCGGUGAGCUCCGUGUCCGACGCCGCCACGCCGGAGGAGGACGUCGCGCUGUCCCUCAUGAUGCUCUCCCGCGACUCCUGGCCCGCGGUGGCGGCGUGGACGCCGUCCUCCUACCGCGUCGCCGACUCCGACGACGGAAGCGACGGCGGCGGAGAGGCCGCGCCCGCGCCACCGGCUGCGGCCGAGCAGAAGCGGACGCGGUUCCAGUGCCCGGCGUGCAAGAAGGUGUUCCGAUCGUACCAGGCGCUGGGCGGGCACCGCGCCAGCCACGUCCGCGGCGGCAGGGGCGGCUGCUGCGCGCCCCCGCUGAACCCGCCGCCGCCGCCGCCUCCCGCUUCCACCCACCUGCAGCCAUUGCCGGAAUGCGAGGAGGGCACGAAGCCUCAUCCGCACGAGUGCCCCUGCUGCUCCCGCGUGUUCGCGUCAGGGCAGGCCCUCGGCGGCCACAAGCGGUCCCAGCUCUGCCCAGGCGCCGCCGCCGUGGCCGAUCAUCCCGCCGCCGCGAUGAAAAGCCUGGGCCUCAUUGAUCUGAACCUCCCGGCGCCCUUCGAGGACCUGGAGGUCUCCGCCGUGUCAGAUCCCUUCCUCGCGGCAAGGCCAGGCCACUGA
rnacentral:rRNA from 1 species